rnacentral:rRNA from 1 species
GGUUAAGCGACUAAGCGUACACGGUGGAUGCCCUGGCAGUCAGAGGCGAUGAAGGACGUGCUAAUCUGCGAAAAGCGUCGGUAAGGUGAUAUGAACCGUUAUAGCCGGCGAUGUCCGAAUGGGGAAACCCAGUGCAAUUCGUUGCACUAUCGUUAACUGAAUACAUAGGUUAACGAGGCGAACCGGGGGAACUGAAACAUCUAAGUACCCCGAGGAAAAGAAAUCAACCGAGAUUCCCCCAGUAGCGGCGAGCGAACGGGGAGCAGCCCGGAGUCUGAAUCAGCUUGUGUGUUAGUGGAAGCGUCUGGAAAGUCGCAGGGUACAGGGUGAUACUCCCGUACACUAAAACACACAGGUUGUGAACUCGAAGAGUAGGGCGGGACACGUGGUAUCCUGUCUGAAUAUGGGGGGACCAUCCUCCAAGGCUAAAUACUCCUGACUGACCGAUAGUGAACCAGUACCGUGAGGGAAAGGCGAAAAGAACCCCGGCGAGGGGAGUGAAAAAGAACCUGAAACCGUGUACGUACAAGCAGUAGGAGCCCACUAGUUGGGUGACUGCGUACCUUUUGUAUAAUGGGUCAGCGACUUAUAUUCUGUAGCAAGGUUAACCGUAUAGGGGAGCCGCAGGGAAACCGAGUCUUAACUGGGCGUUAAGUUGCAGGGUAUAGACCCGAAACCCGGUGAUCUAGCCAUGGGCAGGUUGAAGGUUGGGUAACACUAACUGGAGGACCGAACCGACUAAUGUUGAAAAAUUAGCGGAUGACUUGUGGCUGGGGGUGAAAGGCCAAUCAAACCGGGAGAUAGCUGGUUCUCCCCGAAAGCUAUUUAGGUAGCGCCUCGUGAACUCAUCUUCGGGGGUAGAGCACUGUUUCGGCUAGGGGGUCAUCCCGACUUACCAACCCGAUGCAAACUACGAAUACCGAAGAAUGUUAUCACGGGAGACACACGGCGGGUGCUAACGUCCGUCGUGAAGAGGGAAACAACCCAGACCGCCAGCUAAGGUCCCAAAGUCAUGGUUAAGUGGGAAACGAUGUGGGAAGGCCCAGACAGCCAGGAUGUUGGCUUAGAAGCAGCCAUCAUUUAAAGAAAGCGUAAUAGCUCACUGGUCGAGUCGGCCUGCGCGGAAGAUGUAACGGGGCUAAACCAUGCACCGAAGCUGCGGCAGCGACACUAUGUGUUGUUGGGUAGGGGAGCGUUCUGUAAGCCGUUGAAGGUGGCCUGUGAGGGUUGCUGGAGGUAUCAGAAGUGCGAAUGCUGACAUAAGUAACGAUAAUGCGGGUGAAAAACCCGCACGCCGGAAGACCAAGGGUUCCUGUCCAACGUUAAUCGGGGCAGGGUGAGUCGACCCCUAAGGCGAGGCCGAAAGGCGUAGUCGAUGGGAAACAGGUUAAUAUUCCUGUACUUGGUGUUACUGCGAAGGGGGGACGGAGAAGGCUAUGUUGGCCGGGCGACGGUUGUCCCGGUUUAAGCAUGUAGGCGGAUGUUCCAGGUAAAUCCGGAACGUUACUAACGCUGAGGUGUGAUGACGAGGCACUACGGUGCUGAAGUGACAAAUGCCCUGCUUCCAGGAAAAGCCUCUAAGCAUCAGGUAACAUCAAAUCGUACCCCAAACCGACACAGGUGGUCAGGUAGAGAAUACCAAGGCGCUUGAGAGAACUCGGGUGAAGGAACUAGGCAAAAUGGUGCCGUAACUUCGGGAGAAGGCACGCUGAUGGUAGGUGAAGUGACUUGCUCAUGGAGCUGAAAUCAGUCGAAGAUACCAGCUGGCUGCAACUGUUUAUUAAAAACACAGCACUGUGCAAACACGAAAGUGGACGUAUACGGUGUGACGCCUGCCCGGUGCCGGAAGGUUAAUUGAUGGGGUUAUCCUCGCGGAGAAGCUCUUGAUCGAAGCCCCGGUAAACGGCGGCCGUAACUAUAACGGUCCUAAGGUAGCGAAAUUCCUUGUCGGGUAAGUUCCGACCUGCACGAAUGGCGUAAUGAUGGCCAGGCUGUCUCCACCCGAGACUCAGUGAAAUUGAACUCGCUGUGAAGAUGCAGUGUACCCGCGGCAAGACGGAAAGACCCCGUGAACCUUUACUAUAGCUUGACACUGAACACUGGUCCUUGAUGUGUAGGAUAGGUGGGAGGCUUUGAAGUGUGGACGCCAGUCUGCAUGGAGCCAUCCUUGAAAUACCACCCUUUAAUGGCUGGUGUUCUAACGUGGGCCCGUGAUCCGGGUUGCGGACAGUGUCUGGUGGGUAGUUUGACUGGGGCGGUCUCCUCCUAAAGAGUAACGGAGGAGCACGAAGGUCAGCUAAUCCUGGUCGGACAUCAGGAGGUUAGUGCAAUGGCAUAAGCUGGCUUGACUGCGAGCGUGACGGCGCGAGCAGGUGCGAAAGCAGGUCAUAGUGAUCCGGUGGUUCUGAAUGGAAGGGCCAUCGCUCAACGGAUAAAAGGUACUCCGGGGAUAACAGGCUGAUACCGCCCAAGAGUUCAUAUCGACGGCGGUGUUUGGCACCUCGAUGUCGGCUCAUCACAUCCUGGGGCUGAAGUAGGUCCCAAGGGUAUGGCUGUUCGCCAUUUAAAGUGGUACGCGAGCUGGGUUUAGAACGUCGUGAGACAGUUCGGUCCCUAUCUGCCGUGGGCGCUGGAGAAUUGAGGGGGGCUGCUCCUAGUACGAGAGGACCGGAGUGGACGCAUCACUGGUGUUCGGGUUGUCAUGCCAAUGGCAUUGCCCGGUAGCUAAAUGCGGAAGAGAUAAGUGCUGAAAGCAUCUAAGCACGAAACUUGCCCCGAGAUGAGUUCUCCCUGACUCCUUGAGAGUCCUGAAGGAACGUUGAAGACGACGACGUUGAUAGGCCGGAUGUGUAAGCGCAGCGAUGCGUUGAGCUAACCGGUACUAAUGAACCGUGAGGCUUAACCUU